UCGUAACAAGGUUUCCGUAGGUGAACCUGCGGAAGGAUCAUUAUCGAGUUUUGAACGGGUUGUAGCUGGCCUCUCACGAGGCAUGUGCACGCCUGGCUCAUCCACUCUUAACCUCUGUGCACUUUAUGUAAGAGAAAAAAAUGGUGGAAGCUUCCAGGAUCUCGCGAGAGGUCUUUGGUUGAACAAGCCGUUUUUCUUUCUUAUGUUUUACUACAAACGCUUCAGUUAUAGAAUGUCAACUGUGUAUAACACAUUUAUAUACAACUUUCAGCAACGGAUCUCUUGGCUCUCGCAUCGAUGAAGAACGCAGCGAAAUGCGAUAAGUAAUGUGAAUUGCAGAAUUCAGUGAAUCAUCGAAUCUUUGAACGCACCUUGCACUCCUUGGUAUUCCGAGGAGUAUGCCUGUUUGAGUCUCAUGGUAUUCUCAACCCCUAAAUUUUUGUAAUGAAGGUUUAGCGGGCUUGGACUUGGAGGUUGUGUCGGCCCUUGUCGGUCGACUCCUCUGAAAUGCAUUAGCGUGAAUCUUACGGAUCGCCUUCAGUGUGAUAAUUAUCUGCGCUGUGGUGUUGAAGUAUUUAUGGUGUUCAUGCUUCGAACCGUCUCCUUGCCGAGACAAUCAUUUGACAAUCUGAGCUCAAAUCAGGUAGGACUACCCGCUGAACUUAAGCAUAUCAAUAAGCGGAGGAAAAGAAACUAACAAGGAUUCCCCUAGUAACUGCGAGUGAAGCGGGAAAAGCUCAAAUUUAAAAUCUGGCGGCUUUGGUCGUCCGAGUUGUAUUCUAGAGAAGUGUUUUCCGCGUUGGACCGUGUAUAAGUCUCUUGGAAUAGAGCGUCAUAGAGGGUGAGAAUCCCGUCUUUGACACGGACUACCAAUGCUUUGUGAUACACUCUCAAAGAGUCGAGUUGUUUGGGAAUGCAGCUCAAAAUGGGUGGUAAAUUCCAUCUAAAGCUAAAUAUUGGCGAGAGACCGAUAGCGAACAAGUACCGUGAGGGAAAGAUGAAAAGCACUUUGGAAAGAGAGUUAAACAGUACGUGAAAUUGCUGAAAGGGAAACGCUUGAAGUCAGUCGCGUUAGCUAGAACUCAACCAGGCUUGCUUGGCGUAUUUUCUAGUUAACGGGCCAGCAUCAGUUUUGACCGCAGGAAAAGGGCCAGGGAAAUGUGGCAUCUUCGGAUGUGUUAUAGUCUCUGGUCGUAUACUGUGAUUGGGACUGAGGACCGCAGCACGCGCAAGCUGUGCUUAGGAUGCUGGCGU
rnacentral:rRNA from 1 species